GGCCCCGCCGCUCCAGGCCCCGCCUGGCUUCGAGCCCCGCUCGGAUACAGAUCUGUUUCACGUAGGCCUCGCCUGUCACAGGGCCUCGCCCACUAACAUAUAAUAGCACAUAAACAUCUCACAUAAGCUAAACACAUACUAACGGAUCUUGUCCUAAGGCCUCGCCUAUCUCUGGGCCCCGCCCCUGACCUGCUACUGAUGAGUCACGGAACCCCGUCCAUGCUCCUACUGGUAGUGAGAUACGGGCCCAGCCCACGCUCACUCCCUUCCUGACUGGGGCCUCGCCCCUGCUCUGCUGCUACUGAGAUGUGGAACACCAUCCACACUCUGCUAUUGGUGAGAUACGGGACCUCGCCCACACUCACCUCCCUACCAGGCACAUACAAGUAUCACACAGACAACAAGUAUAAACUAUCACAUAAACCAUUCCUUGGGCACCCGCCCUCUAUCAUUGGACCUCGUCCCGAAUAUCAUACUAGCAUACUGGGCCUAGGGCUAACCCCUGGGUCUUCUACUCAUAACUACAUGGGCCGGCAUUGUGGCCGUAGACCCAUUCAUACAAAGGGAAACUCACCUGAUACUGCUGAACUGCUGCUGCUAAUUCCUUUGACCGCUACCUGACCACUGACUCCGGACUGCUGCUCCACUAGCUCCCCGAGUUACCAAUAUCAACAUAACACUUAGUCUAACUGACCUUCAAAGGUCAACUAAGUCAACUCUUGUCAAAGUCAAAGUCCUGGUCAAAGUCAACCUUCCAGGUCAACCCUACUCGCCGAGUCCACUUACUGACUCGCCGAGUUCUUAUGCUCAAAGUCCUUCCAAUCGCGACUUGACUCGCCGAGUCUACAGAUUCCCGAAUCCUGUCCUGACCAACUCACUGAGUCCUUGCUCGACUCGCUGACUCGAGUCUUAACUCGAAGGGUUUGGGGCUACGCGACCUGACUCGCCGAGUCUAAGAACAGACUCGCCGAGCACACGACAAUCUUCAUCCAACUCGCCGAGUUGUUCAUCCAACUCGCCGAGUUCAUGCCUAUCUUCAUCCGACUCGACGAGCUGUUCAUCCCACUCGUCGAGUUCCUCCUCAUCUUCAAGCUACUCGCCGAGUCCACUCGAAGGACUCGCCGAGUCCAUUCAGAUCUACAUACAUGCAGAGGACUUUCGAGUCAUGCAUGGACUCCAAACUGUAGAUCUACCCUUCCCAAGCCUAUCCCCCACGUAAAGUUGCAAACUUUACGUGUAGAGAGGGAGAUCUAGGCAAAAAGCACCAUAAACUAGGGUUUAAGGCCAAGGGGCUUCAAAAUCGACUCAAGGGCUGAUACUUUAUGCUUCUCCAGUCCAUAACACACUUGGAUCUGAAGUAGCAACUCCAGAUCCGGCUCCUAACUCAAAAUAAUAUCAUUAUGGCUAAAGAGCCCCAACAACCACACAUAAAUCUAGAUGCAAAAAGGGUCCAGGAACUAGUUUAUACCUCCAAAAGCUCAGAAAUGUCUUCCCAAUCCCGGAUCUACAGCCCCCUUCUUGCACUCUCAAGAUUCUUCUUCUUCCUCCAAGCUAAAUGCACUCUUGAAGGCAAUAAAUGGUUCAAAUAGAGGAUAUGGCGGCUAGGGUUUGAUAUCCAGGGCUUAAGAGGCAGUAAGGAGCCCUAGGAAGAAGAUUAAGACGUUUAUAUAGGCUCCAAGUCCCGAAUUUAGGGUUUUCCACGCACAGACCAGACUCGCCGAGUCACCUUGGCCGACUCGCCGAGUCGGUCACUUACUCCUCGACCCGGAUCCCGCUCGGACUCGCCGAGUUCCUCCUCGGACUCGCCGAGUCGCCCCUUAACAUUAAGGUUUUCUUUCCUUUCUUGGCCUUCAAAACUUUGGGUGUUACAACUCUCCCCCACUUAAACUAAACUUCGUCCUCGAAGUUUGCUAUGGCCCACCGCCUGCGAUCUGCCUGCAAUACCCAACCAAUUAUUCCAACACUAGCUGCCUUCCUUCGCUGGCCUACCGCCCGAUCAUUCUGACUAGCAUCAAACCUUGCAGAUAUUCAUCUUGGGUCAACCCUGACCCUGAACAUUCUGGAAACACGACUUACUCAACCGAUAAUCCGCCUGGUACUCACCGAGUACUGCACUGACAUAUAGGGGUUCACCCCCCCUUCUUUCCUUGCAUAAUUCCUUGCCUUCCCAAGGCAAAACCCCAUAACCAACUAUUCCUUCUAUCACUGUGAAGGCCCUAUCCUUCACCAACUCCAUCACCCCCUCUUACCAGUACGGGUCAUUAUCGCCAGUAUCCACUGGGCAUUUCUUUCUACUAUGGUUUGGUGCAGAGCACCCCAUGAUCAACUAACUGAAUUCCAACAUGCGCUGCAUGCUCGCACUACCACUGCCUGACAAUUCUGUUGUUCCUUUUAUGACUUCAGGAUGAACUGAGACCACCCUGGUCCCUACCAACCUAUCAAUGACUGGAUUACCGGCUCCCACCGGUAGCCNCCAGCGACUUCCAAAGAACUUCGAUCACCUAUAAUUGCUCAAUCUACUCUGCCAUUCAGGCACUACAAACCUGGGAUUCUCGAUCCCCUAACUUGACACUAAGGUCCCUACCAGGUCCCACCUGUGCUGUUAAAACUCACGGGCCUCGCCCACGGGUCCCACCCAACCAUACUACUAAACAACCCUGCUCUCAGGUCUCACCUACACUGCUAGUCUCAUACGGGCCUCGCCCACGGGUCUCACCCAACUAUAUCCUGGAGCGGCCUCUCCCAAGGUCUCACCUCUCUAGGGCUAUACAGGCAAACUCCCUAUCAUUCUCAUCCACUACCCAUCCCUGAUCCCUAUCAGAUCACUAGGAGAUAAGGGCCUCGCCCCAACUCCGCUAACGAAGCUACUAAGGAAUGCUACGACUUACCCGUAGUCUUACAUCACCAUCCAUUGCUAACUGCUAGUGAAUGCUACGGCUGCCCCGUAGUCUUACAACACUUCCACUACUGACUGCUAGAACAAAGGCACCCACGUGUCAUAAGCUCUCUAGAUCCUCAUUCCAACUCCCUCGAGUCCUUCGGGCGACCACAACCCGAAUUCCCAAUUACACACUAACCAUUUCCAUCACACGCACUAACUGAUGGGGAGUUUCUCAAACUCCCAACCCGGAAUUCUCAAUCCAUCAAACACUGAACUACUUCUUUUCCUUCUCGGAGGUCACAUACUCACUCUAGGUCUGCGUGCUCCUACCUGGGCACACUCGGAGGGUUCUCCCCCACUUCGAUCCCGCUUACCCCUUGAUGCUCAAUACUCAAAAGAGAUCCCGAUCUUUGCUACGAUUCCAUAACCCAUCUACUGAGGAACCCAAGCCCGCCAUAGCUAGGGAUUUAGCCAAUCCAUCACAAUCACUGCACCACUCCGAACUAGCGAGACGUACCAAAUCUCUCCCAAGCAUGCUACAGUUACUGCAUCCUUCGAAACCUUCUUCAAUAGAGCACAUCCCCUAACUACCAUACAAAUAUCCAAGGUAUGCAGAUGGCAUAUAACUCGAUCACAAUCAACCAAUCAAAAUAAAAUACUUUUACCGAUAAUGAUGCAGAACCAUAACAAUGAAAUCAUGCACAAAUAAAAGAACUGAAAAUGGGAAAUUGCAUACCUGCAACGUCCGGCGUUGCUCGCGUCUCCAAGGUCGUCAUCUGAAAAGCCCUGCUCCCUGCCGCAGGUGCCUCUACCCGGCCCUGACGGCCAUCUGUGAUCCUCAAAGUUGCAGGGGCGGGUGCCAUCACCCGUCCUGCUGAAGACAAACUGGGGCACUGGGCCUUCUUGUGGCCCCGCUGGUUGCAAUGAAAACAUAUCAUGUCUGAUCCCUGCGCGGCGGUAACAGUACAAUCCCUGCUGAAAUGACCAGUCCGACCGCACUUGAAGCAGCCAGACUCACCACCGCUACCACUCCUGCACGCGCCCCCGUGCGCCCUGCCACACUUUCCGCACCGACUGCGGUCCUGAUGAUCCCUCGAUCUCGAAUCCGAUCCCUUGGGCCUUUUGCCCGAACCCGCAACUACCUGAACCUCAUCCGGCUUCCUCUUCCGGAUUUGCUCCAAAUCAAUUUCCCUUUCUCUAGCCCGAGAAAUCAUAUCUUCCAGCGUCUUACAAUUGGAUCUGCUCACGAACUCCCUGAUGUCAUCCCUCAACAUCUCAUGGUACCGAGCCUUCUUCAUCUCCUCAUCCGCGACAUACUGCGGUACAAGAAGAGCCCUCUCCCUGAACUUGGCGGUGAUCUCCGCCACAGUCUCAGUAGUCUGCGUCAAAUCCUGAAACUCUCGUGCCAGCUGCUGCACCUCAAUAAUUGGCGAAAACUCCGCCCUGAACCUGGCCGAGAAAUCGCUCCAAGUCAUCGCGUCCAACGUGGCAUCAUCCCCCAGAGCAUGACCAAUCUCCUCCCACCAGUCCCUCGCUUUGUCCUUCAGAAGACAGGAGGCGAGUCUAACCUUGUUCCCCUCGGGACACUUUCUCAUAUGAAAAGCGUUGGCAACAUCAGCCAACCAUCUGCUGCUAGCAAUGGGGUUCCUAGCCCCAUGAUAAUCUGGCACCCCGCAGGCCCUAAACUCUCGAAAUGUCAAGGUACGCGCUCCCAGCAAAGCCAUCAUCUCGGUAUGGAAGGCUCCCAGCCUCUCAUCCAAAAUCUCCAGUAUGCCCUCCUUGACCGUGCCAAAGAUCACAGGAGUCUGAUCUAGCAUACUGCGCACAAGCUCGGCAGAUAUCAACUCUCUCAUUCGCUCCUCGAGCUGCUCGGCCCCUAAACCCGCGCCUGAUCCCUCUCCGGCGCCUGAUCCGCCCGCUGGUCUCUCUCGCAACGUCACCAUGCUAAAACAUAUAACACAACCACUAUCAGAAAACUCAUCACUGCUGCGAGACCAAACACACCCCCUACUAGGUCCCCGGUCUUGUCUUGGCCCUUCCCGAAUCAAGUACGGAUCCUCUGCUUUCAGUAGUACGGGCCCAUACUACCUUCCACAUCUAUCCGUACUUUCCUCAGGAAUUGCUUUGACUCCACCAGGUCCCUUAUCCACUACUACUGCUCCCAGCACUAUCUCAUCCUAGGCUUACCCUAGGGAAACCUCUGACUCAACUCAAACCAGUCCUCAGCUGCUGAAGGUCUCCUUGUGAUGCCAAUUAGCCAUCACCUGGAUACCAUCACAUGUGACGAGGCUCAGAUAAUCCUUCAAGUAAAAGACUCGUCCCUACAACGGUUGGACUCAAACAAGAGCUGCGCAAUAGGGCCAAAUCCAGCACUCUGAGAUUAUUCAACCCUGAUCACAUGUGACGUGACGUAUCCACCUAAUGGCUAACUCCCAUCACUCAAAAUCCCACAAUGCACAAAGCAAGCAGCAUUCGGACAAGGGGAAAAUCUAACCACAACAUACUCAAGCAAUCAUAUCCAAAUAGCAAGAAUCUGAACUAGCAUGCAACACAAACUCAUAAACUCAGGCAUAACCUAAACAGGCUAUCCUACUACUGUCUAAUCAGCACUAUCAUGCAGCUCAAACACAUAUAAUAGGCACAUAAGGCAUCAUUCCUAGAUCCUUAGUCCUAAUCUAGCAUACUGUUCUAUCAACUGAUAAUCAUAACAUAAACUUGUAUGGGUAUUUUGGGGUACUUACUUGAGCUCGGUUGAUUGCAUGCACCACACCCUUUUUCUCUUUUCAAAGUUCUUUUCUUUCUGAAUUAUUUUUGCCUUUCUAAAACUGUUUUCUUUCCCAAAACUCUCUUUUUACAAAACUGUCUUUUCAUUUUGAAAACUUCUAUACCAAUCCCUCAGUUUGAGUUCAGACACGCUCGAGAGCAUGUCCGAAUCCCUCAAACCAAGGCUCUGAUACCAACUUGUAACGUCCCAAAAUUCAAGACUAAAAAUUUCUUUUAAUAAAACAUUACUUUAAGCAAAUUCAUCAUUUCAAAACAUAAACAGAGUAUUAGUUUCCAAAAUACAUGUUCGUUAUCAGAGUAAACAUUCCCAGGCUGUCUAAACUAUGGUGUGUGCCAUGCGAUCACCCCGAGCUCUUCCCUCCGCUACCGGAAGUACCUGAAACCAAAACUGAAAACCGUAAGCACGAAGCUUAGUGAGUUCCCCACCCUACCACAUACCAUGCAUAACCACAUACUGCACAUACUGGGCCACGCCCGCUAUCCUGGGCCUCGCCCCCUACUUCGGGCCUCGCCCGCUACAAUGGCCCCGCCGCUCCAGGCCCCGCCUGGCUUCGAGCCCCGCUCGGAUACAGAUCUGUUUCACUUAGGCCUCGCCUGUCACAGGGCCUCGCCCACUAACAUAUAAUAGCACAUAAACAUAUCACAUCACAUCACAUAAGCUAAACACAUACUAACGGAUCUUGUCCUAAGGCCUCGCCUAUCUCUGGGCCCCGCCCCUGACCUGCUACUGAUGAGUCACGAAACCCCAUCCAUGCUCCUACUGGUAGUGAGAUAUGGGCCCAGCCCACGCUCACUCCCUUCCUGACUGGGGCCUCGCCCCUGCUCUGCUGCUACUGAGAUGUGGAACACCAUCCACACUCUGCUAUUGGUGAGAUACGGGACCUCGCCCACACUCACCUCCCUACCAGGCAC
rnacentral:lncRNA from 1 species